UUCAAUCAAUUCCUUUCUUUUUCUCUCGACCUCUAAUUCUUUGGACACUUUAGCAUAGUGUCGGUUGUGUUGUUGAAUCUCAUGAGCACCCAGUGGGAUUUUCGGAUCAGCAACGGAUGACGAGGAGGAUGAUGAUGAUGAUGAUGAUGCCGAUCCCGUGGUAUAGCGGUUAAUAACAGCGUCAAUGUUGGGGUGACCAAAAGCAAAGACGCGCUUGCCCAAAGAAUGAACGAUGAUGGCAACUUCUGCCCCGGUCAAGACGCAAAGUUCACUUGCUUUCUUGAAGAGACCGACUCUUCGCUUGGAGAAGCUUUUGCUGGUGGUUCUCCAAUGGAUUGUUGGUUAUGAAGAUCUAGAUGUGUUACAACUUGAUUCUGCAAUAGAGAACACUAAAAUCACUGGACAAAUUGCUCCCCAUUUUUGGCAGCAUUCAGGGCCACUUGCACAGUAUAGGAGUCUUGUUAAGCAAGGGAAGCUGCAGCAUGAUCCUUACCAGGAAGAGGUUGCUUUUAAACUGGAAAAUCUGCUUGGGAGAAUGGAGCAAUAUGAGAAAGAUAUGGAGGAGUACCAUGAAAAGCUUACCAAAUGGGAGCAGAAGAGGGAAAACGAACGGCGCAGGCUUUUGAUGCAGGAAGCUGAGACCAAACAAGAGGGGGGUGGUAUGACAUCAAUAAGCAAGCAGCGAAAUCUUUUCCAAAGAUGGAUGUCCUGGAAGAAACAUGAAAUUGUAGAGCCAGGAGUAGGGAAAUGGGUCUCAUAUCUUAAUCGAGAGAAGAAAUUAGAUUCACUGGUUGGUCGUCGUCCCACUGCUCCUCCAGCCCCCAGAGGAUUGUAUCUUUAUGGGAACGUUGGAAGUGGUAAGACAAUGCUUAUGGAUAUGUUUUAUGGUGCGACUGAAGGAGUUGUAAAACACCAAAGAAGAUUUCACUUUCAUGAGGCUAUGCUGUUAAUAAAUGAGCACAUGCAUAAGAUAUGGAAGGAUCAAGUUAAGAAUAAAAGUUUGCAGUCAAGUAUUUCUAGUUGGAUUACUAAUCUUCCCUUUGAUACAAAAAUUAAAGAGUGGUUAGCUGCAGAAGAAAGAUAUAAGCAAGAGGUGCAGAUGAAAAACAUCCUUCCUGCUGUAGCUGAUAAGUUUCUCACUGAAGCCCAUGGAAAUCAUGCAGGAGCUAGCCUUCUGUGCUUUGAUGAAAUACAGACAGUUGAUGUUUUUGCAAUCGUAGCAUUAUCUGGAAUUCUAAGUAGAUUGUUAAGCAAUGGAACAAUUCUUGUUGCCACCAGUAAUCGUGCACCGAGAGACCUGAAUCAGGAUGGUAUGCAAAAGGAAAUCUUCCAAAAGCUUGUAGCAAAAUUGGAUGAACAAUGUGAUAACUGUCUAAUAGGAAGUGAAAUUGACUAUCGCCGUCUUAUAGCAAAAAGAUCUAUUGAUCAGGUUCAUUAUUUUUGGCCACUGAAUAGUAUCAAAACAGAGGAAUUUGAGAUUAUGUGGGACAAGCUUACAAGACUAUCUGGGGGAAUAAUCACUUCAAAGGCAAUUCGAGUGAUGUUUGGGAGAACAUUGGAGGUUCGCCUAAGCUGUAACGGUUUGGCACGUUUCACAUUUGAGUACCUAUGCGGUCGACCGGUUGGAGCCGCAGAUUAUAUUUCUGUAGCUAAAAAUUACCACAUGAUCUUUAUCUCAGACAUCCCUACUAUGAGCAUGCGAAUUCGUGAUAAGCUACAAUUACCGAUACUGGGUUUCUCGCUUCCAGGCUCGGAGAUUUAUAACUCUCAUUGAUGAACUUUACAAUCACCAUUGCUGCCUAUACUGUUCUGCUGCUUCUUCAAUAGAUGACCUAUUUCAAGGAACUGAAGAGGGUACACUUUUUGACUUGGAGAGCUUCCAAUUUGAAACAGAGACUGAAGGUGCCAAACUGCGACGAGAUGUUCUAGCAGAGGGCACAGUUAGUUCUGGUGGUACACCAACUGGAAUUACUUCCAUGCUAUCUGGUCAAGAGGAGAUGUUUGCAUUUCGCCGAGCUGUUUCCCGCUUGAUUGAGAUGCAAACACCUUUAUACCUGGAAGGUGUCCGCCAUCUUCAUCCGUAUUUCCAGAAUCAAAAGGAAAGCUUUGGUACUCUUAAUGCAAAAGCAACUCAAUUUCGGGAACCAUCUCUUGAAAUCAUUUGAUGUGUACAUCACGUCGAAACUUUUAGUACAUUUUUUGUGCUCGUUUGCCAUCAUUUAAUAGGAUAUACCGAUAACAAAGGGAAAUGAAUUUUUAAACAACAUUUUGCUAUCUAGUUCUGUUCCUA